rnacentral:rRNA from 1 species
GUUUCCGUAGGUGAACCUGCGGAAGGAUCAUUGCACACACGAGUUGCAGCCAACCCGCGGCGAACGAACACAUUGUCCCCUCCGGUGGGUCGCGGCGCCUCGCGGCGUCGCGGCCGGCCACCUCCCUUCGUCACGCAGGGAGUUUCCACGAUGCGUCCACCUUGAUCGAAAGACUGAGUCCCGAAUCGACUUGAGAGGAGCGAGUUCCGUCCCCCUCGGCUUGCUGAGGGGGCCGGCGCUGGUUACCUUGCGAGUUGGAACACACAAUCAAAACAACUCUCAGCAACGGAUAUCUUGGCUCUUGCAACGAUGAAGAACGCAGCGAAAUGCGAUACGUAGUGUGAAUUGCAGAAUUCCGCGAAUCAUCGAGUCUUUGAACGCAAGUUGCGCCCGAGGCUUGUCCAAGGGCAUUUCCGCUAGAGCGUCACCGCGCCCCCCACCGCCCCCCUCCCAGGGGUCGAGUGAAAGUGGCCAUCCCGGUGGUCUCCUCCUUUCGGGGAGGAAGGCCUGAAGGGUUGGCUGAAAUGGAAGGAAUCGGGCCGCCGUGGUGACACAGUCCGCGAUCGGGUGAUCCGAGCUCCUCCGGGAGUCCGGAAUUUUCUAAGUGCGUGGCUGCGUCCCCCAGUCGGUUGUGGUUCACCUCAAGCAGGUCGAGCGCGCCCCCCCGCGGCGCGCGUCACGCAUCAAACCUCUAAUCGGAAAAGACUACCCGCUGAG